AUCACGUUUGAGAACAGAUAAGUUACUGUUGUAGACAAAUGCUAUAAAAAAAGAAUGAAACGGAGAAACACAGCAAGUUAACAGACUUAAUGAAAAAAAAAAGAAAAAAUAUGCUUUGGUGUAUAAAUGCUGUUAUUUGCUGCUUUUAGAUUUAGUGUUUGUUCUCACCAUUUUAAUUGAAUCAUGACGAUGUCGUGAUCGAGUCGAUUAUGAAACCUGAUGCUCGCGAGUCACGACAGAACAGAUCCAGUGCGACUGUCCAGAAGUUACAAACAGUUUACACAAUAACACUUCAUUAAACUACACCAUUUUCACAUGAUGAGGAUGACGGCAUUCGCUCACAACCAAUUUCAUUAUUGAUUAUUAUCGAUUCGAUUAGUUGUUGCAGCUCUAAUAAUAAAUAAUAAACUCAGUAUUUCAAAAAGAAUAAAAACCCAUACAGUUUGGAAACUCACUGUUCCAGCAGUUGUACAGUCGCUCUAUUGAACAUUUUUCCACUAUUGAACAUCAGGUAGCUGGUAAGUAGUCUCCAUCCAACACUUUAAUCUCGUAAGGAGCGCGAGACUGAGAGGAACCACCACAUCCAGAGUCCACCACAUCCAGCUCAAGUUCCAGCUGUGGAGGAGAAACCAGCUGCAGCUCAAGUUCCAGCUGUGGAGGAGAAACCAGCACAAGUUUAAUAUUCAGUUAAAGCUCCUUCAGCAUCUAUAAAAUGAAUUCCAGUAUUUCAGCACUGUAUGUUGGUGAUCUGCACCAUGAAGUGACAGAAAACAUGCUGAUGGAGAAAUUCAGCUCUGUGGGCCACGUUCACUCCAUCCGGAUCUGCAGGAACUGGAACACCAGCGUUUCACUCAGUUACGCCUAUGUCAACUUUUACCAGCGAGCCGAUGAUAAUUAAAUCCUCAUUAAACCCCAAUAUACUAUUUCUGCAUCUAUACCAGUUUUGGGGGGGUUGUCUACUUAAUACUCCAGGAGUAAUUUCUGUAUUGUUUUCCUACUUUAUUAUGUGAAUAUGGUCAGGUUUUGUGCCUUAAAUAAAAUUUGAGAGUGUUUUCUCCUCACCCAUCUAUUCCCAGUCUUUUUUACUGAAAUGAAUGACCUGUAAUGAAUGUUGUUUCCUCAGCUGAGCGAGCGUUGGCAACACUUAAUUGUGAGCUCCUUAUGGGGAACCCUAUGGGAGUCAUGUGGUCUCAGUGGGAUUCCACCAUGAGGAAAAGUGGCAUCGGAUACUUGUUCAUCAAGAACUUGGACCUGGAGAAGAUUGACAGCAUGGCCCUUUUUGACCUGUUUUCAGUCUUUGGGAAGAUCCUGUCAUGCAGGCUCCAUCCAACACUUUAAGUCUCGUAAGGAGCGCGAGAAUGAGAGGAACCACCACACCCAGGUCUUCAUUAACAAGCAGAAGACCUUACUGAGACCAGAACACCAGGAUAACCCUGUCCAUCAUAACAUGCAGAGGAUGAAGAAU